rnacentral:misc_RNA from 1 species
GAUGAAGAACGUAGCGAAAUGCGAUAAGUAAUGUGAAUUGCAGAAUUCCGUGAAUCAUCGAAUCUUUGAACGCACAUUGCGCCCUCUGGUAUUCCGGGGGGCAUGCCUGUCCGAGCGUCAUUUGCAACCCUCAAGCCCGGCUUGUGUGAUGGGUGCCGUCCCCUACGGGACGCGCCCCGAAGGCAAUGGCGGCGUCGCGGUUAUCCGAUCAGCCAAAGUGUAUGGGGCUUUGUCACUCACUUUACGGCCCGGACCGGCGCCAGUCCGAAUCAAUCUUUUUUCUAAAGUUGACCUCGGAUAAGGUAGGGAUACCCGCUGAACUUAAGCAUAUCAAUAAGCGGAGGA